UAUCGAACCUAACAUCUCUGUGCACUGCUGAGGCAAAGCGUCGCCACUGACAGACACGUGUCAUUUUGAAAACUUUUCCACAACUGCUGAAGCUUACCGAUUGUUUCCAGUGCUCCGCAUGUUUGUUUUUAUUUUACAUUUCAGCCUUGGUGAGAAAUGUCAACUGUGGUUUCCUAUAAACAUUUGUAGGAUUUUGUCUCCACUCAUUUGGAUCCUGCUCAUAUUUUUGCGUUUAUUUGUGGCAGAAAUGUGUUUAUUCAUUUUUUUUUUUUUUUUAACUCUGCAAGAUUUUCAAUCAAAAAGCUAAUAAAGGUUUGUUUGUGUUGCAGGCUCUACGGUAUCCAUACUUCGUCGGCCAGGUGCUCUGCUCUCCUCCGGAGCGCUCAGAGCAGAACAAAGCUCACGAAAGGACGUCUGAGAAGGAUGAAGUAACAAAGCCUCUGUCCCUCUGCAACACGGACCCAGAGUCCAACGAGCCAAGCCAGACACGGACCGGCAGCCGGCCGCUCCCCCAGCGCUCCAAGCAGAUGUUCCUGCCUCAGGGUCACAUGGGGCCAAGAACCAGACCAGCAACGUGUCCCACCACGCUGACGGAGGGGAAGCAGGAGCCUCAACCGAUGAGCUGGCAGCAACCAAGGGUUAGUGGAGUGAGGACAGGACGCCGUCGAUGGGGACAGGCGUCAUUUAGCUCCGGCGACAGUUGGGAGAACGGCGAGGACGCUGUGUCUGAAGACAAGGGCGCGGGUCAGGCCCAGCUGUUGAUUUCCAGAGUCAACGAACAGCAUAGGAGCAACGCUGCAGAGCAAGAGCGGGCUGAACCGCUCUGACUCCACCACCCAGUCUGCAAAGCAGCACUACCUUCACCAGUCAAGAUAUCUGCCCGGUGAGACAAGAAAAUACCUAUGAUCAUAGAUCAUAGAAAUUGCAUUAGAACCCGUUUUUAGCCUUUAGCUAAUUCUUUGUGUGCCGAGUCCAUUCUUUGUGAGCACACAGCUUUCAUUUUGUCUUCCAACAUACUUUAGUAAAAUGAAAUACGCCCCCUGGAGUUUGAAAAGGGGUCAACACCAUACCAACAGCAAUACCUUAGAGUUAAUAAAUUGUCCUUAAAGGAACUGGCAGCACCAGAUUAAUCGGUCUCAACCUGAACCUUUAACCACUUCUCUUUUGUGAAUGUUUUAGUAGAUCUCUCUAGCUCUCAAAUGAGGGUAUAUUAAAAAAAAUAAUCAGUACUGAGGACAUGCAGCUUGACAAACUAGCCUUCUUUCUCAUGAUAGUUUCCCAGAAUACGAAGGGGGGAGAGAUAUCUGAAUGCCGGGAAGAACACUUUUCCAAAGUGCCCUAACAUCAAAAGCCAGUGACUCCCGCCAGGAAAUACAGACUCCAGAGGAGCAGUGUUUCCUGCUAGUUUCAUCUUAUAUCUGUCCUGCUAUUAAAUAUACACACAUACAAGUGCCCCAGAAGUUAUAUGGAUUUUUUUUUUAUAUAAUAGAUUAGAAAACAUAUUGUGCGUGAAUAUAUUGUUUUGCAAAUGUACAAACUUGAAAACGUCCCCAAAGUGAAGAAAAAGGUUAUUUUUAAAUAGAGAACCAGAAAGAAUAAAUGUUUGUGAAUGCA